UACGUAGGUGGCAAGCGUUGUCCGGAAUUACUGGGUGUAAAGCGCGUGUAGGCGGGAGGCCAAGUCUGCUGUGAAAUCGCCCGGCUCAACUGGGCGGGGUCGGUGGAAACUGGUCACCUGGAGGACGGUAGAGGCGAGUGGAAUUCCCGGUGUAGUGGUGAAAUGCGUAGAGAUCGGGAGGAACACCAGUGGCGAAGGCGGCUCGCUGGGCCGGCCCUGACGCUGAGACGCGAAGGCGUGGGGAGCGA
rnacentral:rRNA from 1 species